rnacentral:lncRNA from 1 species
AAACUGAACUUUUGAUUAUUUUAUUAAUUUAAACCUAUUCUAAUGUCUUCCAAAUACUUGUAAAUAUUCAUAAAUCACCAUCAACAUAAUUUAAACUUACCGAGCAUUGUGGAUUCAUGUUUUGAGUCUUCGAGUCUUCGAUUUUCGUCUAUUUUUCUUUAAACCUUCAAGACUCCGACUUACUUCACGAAAUAUGCCAACUUAAAAUCCGUAACACGAAGUUCUGCACAACAGGGUUAACCCCUUC